UACGGAGGGUGCGAGCGUUGUCCGGAAUCACUGGGCGUAAAGGGCGCGUAGGUGGCCGAGCAAGGUCGCGGUGAAAGCCCGGGGCUCAACCCCGGGUCGGCCGUGGCAACUACUUGGCUGGAGCACUGUAGGGGCGGGUGGAAUUCCGGGUGUAGCGGUGGAAUGCGUAGAGAUCCGGAAGAACACCGGUGGCGAAGGCGGCCCGCUGGGCAGGAAGACCUCGUAAGAGGUCGGCUGACACUGAGGCGCGACAGCGUGGGGGAGCAAACAGG
rnacentral:rRNA from 1 species